rnacentral:rRNA from 1 species
AACGAACGCUGGCGGCAUGCCUAACACAUGCAAGUCGAACGAGACCUUCGGGUCUAGUGGCGCACGGGUGCGUAACGCGUGGGAAUCUGCCCUUGGGUUCGGAAUAACAGUUAGAAAUGACUGCUAAUACCGGAUAAUGUCUUCGGACCAAAGAUUUAUCGCCCAGGGAUGAGCCCGCGUAGGAUUAGCUAGUUGGUGAGGUAAAGGCUCACCAAGGCGACGAUCCUUAGCUGGUCUGAGAGGAUGAUCAGCCACACUGGGACUGAGACACGGCCCAGACUCCUACGGGAGGCAGCAGUGGGGAAUAUUGGGACAAUGGGCGAAAGCCUGAUCCAGCAAUGCCGCGUGAGUGAUGAAGGCCUUAGGGUUGUAAAGCUCUUUUACCCGGGAUGAUAAUGACAGUACCGGGAGAAUAAGCCCCCGGCUAACUCCGUGCCAGCAGCCGC